rfam:Myotis lucifugus cont2.25420, whole genome shotgun sequence.
GGUAGUUCUCAGGUGACGCACCCCGGUAUUAGGCUCCCUCCUCUCUGGUUCUGGUGCAUCACCCAAGAACUGCA